rnacentral:misc_RNA from 1 species
GGGAGAUAAGAUUUUUGCACUGGCAAUUAGUGCUGAUGUAUGCAGGCAGAUAAUUUGAGUAACUCGGUGUCUGCUUUUUGACUUGCUUCAGUGUCCUCUAACGUGUAUGAUUUCUAUAGAAAUGAAAUGCGCAACGAAUCAAUAAUAUAGAUAAUAUUAUCUCUUUCAAAUUGGUUCGAGUCUCAACUUCAAUGCUGUUAAUGUUAUUUUUCCAGG